UACGAAGGGUGCAAGCGUUAAUCGGAAUUACUGGGCGUAAAGGGCUCGUAGGCGGCCAACUAAGUCGGAUGUGAAAUCCCCAAGCUUAACUUGGGAACUGCAUCCGAUACUGGAUGGCUUGAAUCCGGGAGAGGGAUGCAGAAUUCCAGGUGUAGCGGUGAAAUGCGUAGAUAUCUGGAGGAAUACCGGUGGCGAAGGCGGCAUCCUGGACCGGCAUUGACGCUGAGGAGCGAAAGCUAGGGGAGCAAACGGG
rnacentral:rRNA from 1 species